ACCUUUCACCUCUGCCCUCUUAAAAUCUCCAUACCUACCCGAAUUUUCUUGGCUUCCGCCAAGAUCCUUCAUUUCAAUCCCGACUAGUUGGAGUUGAGCUUUCACUCGGUCAAUCUCCCUCCACCUGCUCUUAGAUGCGAUCAACAUAUCAUCCACAUAUAAGAGCAAAUAAAUCAUGGAACCGUCUUGGAGUUUUUUGCGAAGGUCCUUUUCUCUACACAAUGACAAACUGACUUCGUGUAGACCCAUGCUCGAUCCAUGAACAAUAUCAACAUCAACCUCUUUCCCUGUCUUGGGACUGAUUCAAUCAAGCCAUACAAAGAUUUCUUUAAUCGACACGCCAAAUGUUCUUUUCCAGAUACUUGAACCCGUCUGUCUGUGACAUGAAAUCUCUCUUCCCAAUCUCCAUGUAAAAAGCGGUUUUGACAUCGAGUUGAGCUACUCAAGAUCAAACUGAGCAAACGAACAAACUCUAUCAAAAUAACGAAUAGACGAAUGUUUACAACAGGAGAAAAUACCCUUCCGUUGUAUUCUAUUCCUUCUUUCUGAGCGUGGGAGCCUUUAGCCACAAUCUAAGCUUUGAAUCUGUUCCUUGAGUAUCUUCCUUCUUGCCAUAUAUCCCUUGCAACCGAUCCGCUUUUCUUUCCUUGGGCAGCUCGAACCAACUCCCCAGUCUGUUCUUGUGAUCUGACUUCAUUCUUCAAAUCCAUGGCCCCUCUUCCAUUUUGGAUUUUCAUCAGUCCCCCUGCCACGCUCUUUUGUAAGUACACGGGACUACCCUCAAAUCACUGGAAGUGCAAUAUUCUACUUAUCAUUAUAUCGAGCAUGUCUACGAAUCACUCUUUGGGCCCUACUCGUCGCGAUAGAUGUCUGCUGGUGUGAAGAUUGAGCCUCUUUCCAAUCUGGUGAGUGUCGUAUCAUCAAUUCCCUCUUCAGUAUAUCACUGUCUGAUAGUUGUAGUCGCACUGAAUGCUCACAAGCUCCACGCUGGGUGGAUAUUGGCUCAGAUUUUCUUUCUCAGAAUUCUUCGUCAUCAUCACAGACUCAGUCCUCGAAUGUAACAUCCCACUGUUUAACGAUCUUCUUCCGUUUCGGGACACCCAUAUCUUUAUCCGUUUACCCCAUGUUCUAAAGCCUACAAAGAUAGCUUUUCUUCGCUCUGGGAUCCAACUUAAUCUUCUUUACAUGAAGUUGCAGGACAAUCCAAAUAGUUAAUUUGUCAUAAUCAGAAACACAUUUUUUUCCUGCCAUACCUCCAUAGGAGUUUUCCUUCAUAGCUGUGGAAGGAAGUGUCUGUUGGUGAGGUGUGGCGGCAUGUUUAUUGUCUUCUGCCCAAAAUGCUUUGCUCAAACCAGCUUGCAUAUCAUCAACCGGAACUUUAAUCCUACUAAGGUGCGGUUUAGAAUCAUGAUCCUUUCUGCAACUACUCCAUUUUGUUUGCGGUGUGCCAUUAAUAGUAAAAUGGUCUGACAAUCCCUUCGUUGGAACCACUCGAGAAAGGAUCUGACCGAUAUUCUCCACCAUUUCAAUCUGAUCUUCUUGAUCUUUCUUCUACCAGUCCUGGUUCGAUCAUCUUCUUCCCUCUCAAUAAGAUUUCAAGGAACUUUCAUCCUUGUGCCGCAUCGUGAUAACCCAAACUCUUCUGGAAAAAGUCCUCAAUCUAAUGUUUACAAAUGCCGUGAAUGAACCGUCCCAAAGAUUCAUUUUAGAAUGCCCCCCAAACACCAGAGUGAACAUAAUCCGAAUGCCUUCAGUCUGAUGAAAUUUGUUGGCCCAACUUCACCCUUGUCCCUGCUUGCCGCACACAAUGCUCGACAGAAUUCAAUUUUUUCCAGUCUUAGCGGCCUUCAGAACUCCGUGACUUACCAAAGUGUGCAAAGCUUUUUCUCCAGAUGUGCCCCAAUCGGCAUAUCCAUAAUUUUGGAAGUGUCUGAUUCGUCUGAACUGGUGGAGAUAGCAACUCUCCCAGUGACCGUACUCUACUCCCAUCAAGGAAUGAGAUUCCCUCUAGAGUGCCCUAGAACACCAAGAGCGCCAUGGGAAGGGAGAACAACUUUCAGAACUCCACCUUCCAAGAUAAUCUUGUAACCCCCCUUUGAAUCAAAAUCUCCCACUGAAAUGAUAUUUUUCUUCAAAUCCAGGUACAUAGCGAACACAUAAGAAACCUUGACGUUCCACUGAACUCGUCAUCUGAUGUGCAAUUCCCUCGUUUUGCAAGGCGUUGUCAUUCCCAUUAGAACAACUCCUCCCAUCGAGCUCUGCUCUUCAAACUCGAGAACCAGUCCCUGUGGGGAACACAUAGGAUAGGAACAACCAGAAUCCAUAAUCAUUCGUCAGAAUGGCUAGCAGAAAAGAAACAGUAAAUGCAGUGGUCAUCUUUCUCGACUGCAGCAUGGGCUAUGUUUUUGUGCCUUUGGUUCUUUGCUUUCUAUCUUGGGCAAUCUUUUCUCCAGUGGCCUUUCUGAUGACAAAGCAACCCUCAUCCUUUGGCAAGCUGCCG
rnacentral:lncRNA from 1 species